rnacentral:rRNA from 1 species
GGCGUAAAGAGCUCGUAGGCGGUUUGUCGCGUCGUCUGUGAAAACCCGCAGCUCAACUGCGGGCUUGCAGGCGAUACGGGCAGACUUGAGUACUGCAGGGGAGACUGGAAUUCCUGGUGUAGCGGUGAAAUGCGCAGAUAUCAGGAGGAACACCGGUGGCGAAGGCGGGUCUCUGGGCAGUAACUGACGCUGAGGAGCGAAAGCGUGGGUAGCGAACAGGAUUAGAUACCCUGGUAGUCCACGCCGUAAACGGUGGGCGCUAGGUGUGGGUUUCCUUCCACGGGAUCCGUGCCGUAGCUAACGCAUUAAGCGCCCCGCCUGGGGAGUACGGCCGCAAGGCUAAAACUCAAAGGAAUUGACGGGGGCCCGCACAAGCGGCGGAGCAUGUGGAUUAAUUCGAUGCAACGCGAAGAACCUUACCUGGGUUUGACAUACACCGGACCGCCCCAGAGAUGGGGUUUCCCUUGUGGUCGGUGUACAGGUGGUGCAUGGCUGUCGUCAGCUCGUGUCGUGAGAUGUUGGGUUAAGUCCCGCAACGAGCGCAACCCUUGUCCUGUGUUGCCAGCACGUAAUGGUGGGGACUCGCAGGAGACUGCCGGGGUCAACUCGGAGGAAGGUGGGGACGACGUCAAGUCAUCAUGCCCCUUAUGUCCAGGGCUUCACACAUGCUACAAUGGCCGGUACAGAGGGCUGCGAUACCGCGAGGUGGAGCGAAUCCCUUAAAGCCGGUCUCAGUUCGGAUCGGGGUCUGCAACUCGACCCCGUGAAGUCGGAGUCGCUAGUAAUCGCAGAUCAGCAACGCUGCGGUGAAUACGUUCCCGGGCCCUUGUACACACCGCCCGUCACGUCAUGAAAGUCGGUAACACCCGAAGCCGGUGGCCUAACCCCUCGUGGGAGGGAGCCGUCGAAGUGGGAUCGGCGAUUGGACGAGUCGUACGACGAUGUAGAUC